rnacentral:rRNA from 1 species
CAGUAGCCGCGGUAAUACGAAGGGUGCAAGCGCUAAUCGGAAUUACUGGGCGUAAAGCGUGCGUAGGCGGUUUGUUAAGUCUGUUGUGAAAUCCCCGGGCUCAACCUGGGAAUGGCAAUGGAUACUGGCAAGCUAGAGUGUGUCAGAGGAUGGUGGAAUUCCCGGUGUAGCAGUGAAAUGCGUAGAGAUCGGGAGGAACAUCAGUGGCGAAGGCGGCCAUCUGGGACAACACUGACGCUGAGGCACGAAAGCGUGGGGAGCAAACAGGAUUAGAUACCCGAGUAGUCCCUGUCUCUUAUAC